UAACCGUGGCCAAGUUCCUGGUGGGCAGCAAAGCCUCGCCUCCUGAAUGAUCAUUCCUGUUCACCACGCUUGGGACUCCUGAGGAAAUGGUGACCGUUUCCUGGAACUACUUACCCCAGAAAGAUCCGGACCAACCCCAGCUCUACUUACCAAGGGGAGAAUUGGAGAGACAAGUAGACUCACUUGGCUGGCUGCAAGAAGCCGAAGUAAUGAUAAGGAUGAGGACAAGGAGAGACAGGGCAGCCUCAGAGACCUUCAUCCUCUCAGCGGGGCAGUACAGCUUCAGGGAGAGCUGAAUGAAGAUGUUGUCUGCUGCUGGUGGUCCGCUUGCCAACUACUCAGCUCUCUGGACCUUGACCGCAUCAGAGCCGAUAGAGGAGGAGAAACAACAGGCCUCAGUGUUUGCUGAAA